GUGCAGCAGGCGCGAAACUUUACAAUGCGGGAAACCGUGAUAAGGGAACCUCGAGUGCUGGCGCAUAGCGUCGGCUGUCCAGAUGCCUAAAAGCAUCUGAUAGCAAGGGCCGGGCAAGACCGGUGCCAGCCGCCGCGGUAACACCGGCGGCUCGAGUGGUGGCCACGUUUAUUGGGUCUAAAGCGUCCGUAGCCGGCUCGGCAAGUCCCCUGGGAAAUCUGGCGGCUCAACCGUCAGGCGUCCAGAGGAUACUGCUGGGGCUUGGGGACCGGGAGAGGUGAGAGGUACUCCAGGGGUAGGGGUGAAAUCCAUUAAUCCCUGGGGGACCACCGGUAGCGAAGGCGUCUGACCAGACCAGGUCCGACGGUGAGGGACGAAGGCUAGGGUCGCGAACCGGAUUAGACUACCCCGGUAGUCCCUAAGACUGCCAAGGCACACGAGGGG
rnacentral:rRNA from 1 species